rnacentral:rRNA from 1 species
GCUCAGUGAGGCUUCCGGACUGGCCCAGAGAGGUCGGCAACGACCACUCAGGGCCGGAAAGUUAUCCAAACUCGGUCAUUUAGAGGAAGUAAAAGUCGUAACAAGGUCUCCGUUGGUGAACCAGCGGAGGGAUCAUUA